GUGAAAUUCCGUCGGAAUCUGGGAGGACCAUCUCCUAAGGCUAAAUACUCUCUAGUGACCGAUAGUGAACCAGUACCGUGAGGGAAAGGUGAAAAGCACCCCGGAAGGGGAGUGAAAUAGAACCUGAAACCGUGUGCUUACAAGUAGUCAGAGCCCGUUAAUGGGUGAUGGCGUGCCUUUUGUAGAAUGAACCGGCGAGUUACGAUUUGAUGCAAGGUUAAGCAGUAAAUGUGGAGCCGUAGCGAAAGCGAGUCUGAAUAGGGCGUUUAGUAUUUGGUCGUAGACCCGAAACCAGGUGAUCUACCCUUGGUCAGGUUGAAGUUCAGGUAACACUGAAUGGAGGACCGAACCGACUUACGUUGAAAAGUGAGCGGAUGAACUGAGGGUAGCGGAGAAAUUCCAAUCGAACCUGGAGAUAGCUGGUUCUCUCCGAAAUAGCUUUAGGGCUAGCCUCAAGUGAUGAUUAUUGGAGGUAGAGCACUGUUUGGACGAGGGGCCCCUCUCGGGUUACCGAAUUCAGACAAACUCCGAAUGCCAAUUAAUUUAACUUGGGAGUCAGAACAUGGGUGAUAAGGUCCGUGUUCGAAAGGGAAACAGCCCAGACCACCAGCUAAGGUCCCAAAAUAUAUGUUAAGUGGAAAAGGAUGUGGCGUUGCCCAGACAACUAGGAUGUUGGCUUAGAAGCAGCCAUCAUUUAAAGAGUGCGUAAUAGCUCACUAGUCGAGUGACACUGCGCCGAAAAUGUACCGGGGCUAAACAUAUUACCGAAGCUGUGGAUUGUCCUUUGGACAAUGGUA
rnacentral:rRNA from 1 species